UGAGGAAUUUUUGGACAAUGGGCGAAAGCCUGAUCCAGCAAUGCCGCGUGUGUGAAGAAGGCCUUCGGGUUGUAAAGCACUUUUGUCCGGAAAGAAAUCCUUGGCUCUAAUACAGUCGGGGGAUGACGGUACCGGAAGAAUAAGCACCGGCUAACUACGUGCCAGCAGCCGCGGUAAUACGUAGGGUGCAAGCGUUAAUCGGAAUUACUGGGCGUAAAGCGUGCGCAGGCGGUUUGCUAAGACCGAUGUGAAAUCCCCGGGCUCAACCUGGGAACUGCAUUGGUGACUGGCAGGCUAGAGUAUGGCAGGAGGGGGGUAGAAUUCCACGUGUAGCAGUGAAAUGCGUAGAGAUGUGGAGGAAUACCGAUGGCGAAGGCAGCCCCCUGGGCCAAUACUGACGCUCAUGCACGAAAGCGUGGGGAGCAAACAGGAUUAGAUACCCUGGUAGUCCACGCCCUAAACGAUGUCAACUAGUUGUUGGGGAUUCAUUUCCUUAGUAACGUAGCUAACGCGUGAAGUUGACCGCCUGGGGAGUACGGUCGCAA
rnacentral:rRNA from 1 species